ensembl:lncRNA
ACUUUUGACCCCUGCCAUCACAUCAAAACUUUUGAUGGGAUAUUGGCCAACUCCGGGUAUUGUGAGGACAAAGCUCAACAUCUCCUUUCAUCCCUUGCUGUGAGCCCACAAAAAAAGGAAGCCAUCGAGAGAGCCACAGUUGGGCAAACUAAGAAUGACUUAUGGUAAUAAUACAUACAAGGAUCGAUUGAUUUCAUGUGUACUAAAAGUCAUUAGUGACUAGCUCUUUCUUGAAUUGUUUUUUAAGUGCUGUGAGGUUAACUGUUGUGUGUUUCUUUAUAACAGGAUGGCAUAUCGCAAGAAGAGAGUUACAGCCAGCAACUUUGGUCUUGUGUUGGCGGCAGUGAAGAGGAACUCUUACCCUCCUUCAUUAUUCAAAACGCUGCUUGGUCAUUACAACUUCAAGCAAGGAGCUCAUCACCUUGUGAUGCCAUUGUGUAUGAAAUUCCCUUUCAACCCCCAGGCUUGUGAUUGGGGAAUCGUUCAUGAGCCAAAGGCUAAAGAAGAGUACAUGAAGCGCACUGGUGUGACCAUCCAGGAGAGCGGAGUGUUUCUCUCUGACAGUGGCCUGCUUGGUGGCUCUCCAGAUGGGACAGUAUCUGCUGACUGCAUCAUUGAGGUGAAAUGUCCUUAUGCAGCCAGAAAGAAGACCAUAAUUCAGGCAGCAGAGGCAAAGGACUUUUAUCUCAACUGGAUGAAGUUACUGGCCUACUGAAAAUGAAGCCGACUCACAACUACUGGCAUCAAAUUCAGGGCAACCUGUACCUGACAGGAGCUGGCACAUGUCACCUGGUGGUAUGGACUCCGCUGGAUGUUGUAAUUCUGUUCAUCCAUAAAGAUCCAGCUUGGGCAAACAACAUUAGUGUUUUAGAAAUAUUUUAUAAGGACAUUUUCCUGCCCCAUAUUCUCUCCGAUAUUAAAUGAUUAACCCUGCAUUUGUUUACAUGUUCUAAAUAGGGAUGUCAGGAUUCAAAUUUUUGAGUCACGAAUAUUAUGGAAAAAUGUUGCGAUUUCUUUACAAUUAUUCAUGAAUAGCGAAAUUUAGAAGAAAGAAUUUCUCAACCUUUACAGUUCUGUGUAAAUGUUCACAAAAGAGGACAUUUUACGUAUAUAUUUAUUUAAGGGUUGUUUUAAUUGAUAGCCUAUUGAAGGUUCAGCCUUUAUUUUUUAUCUUCAUGCUUUUGUCAUUAUAUAAAAAAGUAAUAUAAUAAAAGUAAACUUAUAAAUAGGCAGUAGAAUAUCAUUAUUAUUAUUAUUAUUAGCAAUACCUAUACCUACCUAGCUAGCUAUAAGAAAGCAGAUUUAUGUGGAUGUUUUUGAAAGAUCUAUGUCUUUCCAUGUGCUUACACUGUUCAUGUCCAUUUUUACGUGACAAACGCGGCUGCACAUGAUCCUUUUUUUUUUAACUCUUCCUUUGGCAGCUAUGAAAAUAAGAUUUGCACAUUUGACUUAUGAACCUGCCGUUGACUUCAUGCGUUUGAGCGGAUUUAACGCUGAGACGAUUUACCUUGGGCCCUAAAACUAUUACGAUUAACCUACUGUGAGCUUUUAUAACCGCGGUUAUUGUAAAAUCAGUUAAUCUUGACAUUCCUAGUUCUAAAGCAGGAUAUUCAGUUUGAAUGUUGUAGCCUCUCCCAAUUUGUAUAUAUCAAUAUCUGUGCAUUUGUACCAGUUAAACUGAUGUUUGUG